CUGGACACAGUUCCAGAUGGUUCCAUCCUGCUCUGUAAUGGCCCCUCCACACUCAGGGAACAGCUGCAGCAGGAAAACUCUGGGAAAAUGACUUUGAGGGAGGCUGCCUGAAAGAGAGGUGUGAGGGGAUGAGUGUGUGAAACAGCCCUGGGACAGCAGAGCAGGGGAGAAGAAGGAUGAGAAGGUGCUCCAUGCCUGGAGCAGAGAGCUUUCCCUGCAGCCCAUGAAGGGAGUGGGAAGGAGCAGACACUUCCCUGCCCACGACAGGGGCUUUGUGGUGGUUACUGGUCGGAAAAAGUUACAGUUCUAAUUCUCCAUUCCACUGUGAAAUGAGGAUAGAAGGCUGUAAUAGAGCACAAAUCCAGCAACAGAGCUGAGUAAUGUCCAUCCAGCACUGAAUGGAGCAGGCAGAACAGACAACAAAUAAAAGUUGUGAGAGGAAGAAAUCAGCCAGCUAUUUCACACACCACAAUUAAGGAUCAACAGCCCUUCUGCCCAGGGGAUUUCUGCUUUCAGGUUUAACAGCUGAGCUUUGGUAGAAAACCCUUUUUGUGAUGCCAGAAACUGAUCCCACUUAAGAACUGCAAAACAAUAUUUGUCCUAGAAAGGGAAAGACAGAAAGACUGGGGAGUUUUUUCCCCUUCAGGUUUCAGAGCCCUUCUGAAAACCCAGUUGCACUCAACAAAUGUCAGUGCCUUAAUUACCAGGUGAAUUCAUUUCACCAUUAGCAUGCCAUUUAGAGGUAUGCACCAUUACCUUUGCAGGCUUCAGCUUAGAAAUAAAACGUGAAUGAAAAUUAGAUGACCUAAAUAUCCUCCACAUAAAGAGAAAUGGAUGGUGCUGGGAGGUGACAGCCCAAAAAUAAGAACUGCAGUUCUGGUUCUGCAAUGAAAUGCUCUCAGCAAUGUCUCGGGGCAGACUCACCCCUGCAAGAGUGUGGCAGCAACCUGAGGGACAGAUUUAUGUCCCCAGCCUCCAAAGGCCUUCCCUCAGCACCUGAAUACAUAAAUACAUCAUAUUUAUAACUUUUAGCCUCAGAUUUACCUUUAAUAAUCUUUGCAGACCAAGAGAGAGGGAGAGAGAAAGUAGGAUUUAUGACAACAUUCACGUGAAAGCAUUGCAUUUUUAAAAAUUAUUUGGAUAAUUUACAGGCUUCAUUUUUAGUAUUAAUACUACUCAGACAUCCAAUCUUUCCUUCUUCCUUCUGUUAAAUGUUUUUACUAAAACCAGUCAAACAAAAAUAGUAAAGAAUAUGUUCUUUUGGGU